CCAGGACUGGCCCCUUUCAGGAGCCGUAGAGGAAGCAGGUUUCUGGUCAUGUGAUGCGGGAAAGGGCGGACGUACAGCUCACGCACAGGAGUGGGGACCUGCAGGACGGCGAUAGAGAGACAUCUUUGUUGUGGGCAAAAUACGCCCACCUCAAGUAACGUUGGAGGUACUUAAAUUUGAUCCACGGUUAGCGCUAAUUAGCGUGCGUGAUCUUAGUUUACAAGACAGGCUUAUACUAGAGAGAAAGAUAAUGUGCUUGAUCACCAGGUUGAUUCUACUUACCAGCCAUAAAAACAUCUGCAUACAGGUGACCUCAGGAAGGCUAUCCUUGACCUCAUCUGACCUCUGACAUUACCUUGCCGGAUUUCCUCCAUAGUACCUGUUGUCAACUGGACUUCUGCUGCCAUUAUUGGGAUUUUGUCUGUUUGCCUAUUGCGUGUCUUCAUCACCAGGAUAUAAGCUUUGUGAGAGCAGAAACUUUGGCUCCUGAUAUUUCUAGCGCCUAGGAUAGUCAUGGCACAUGCUGGCAUGAGCUGAGCAGCUUCCUCGGUUGCCACUCUUCCACCAUGAUGUUCUGCCUCAUCUUGGGCCCAAAGCAAUGGAGUUGACUGACUAUGGUCUGAAUCUCUGAAACUGCUGCCCUACCUCAGCACCAUCACCAGUCUAACAGCUGUGAGAACCGUGGAUCCAGGGAGAAUGGAGGCCAGAGGCAAAAGGAAGCAAUGAAGUCCCACAAAGAGGAUGAGAACUUCAGAUGUCAAAUGUGACUUUCAAUCUAUCUAGCUUAAAAGUAAACCCUCUACCUGGAUAUCCUCUUGAACCUGGUGGACCUCGAUUUCCUUUUUGGCCAGGGAUGAUGGUCCCAGGCCGACCUGGUGGCCCUGGGGGUCCUGUUAUGCCCAUGGGUCCUCGAGGCCCAACAUCUCCCAUUGUUCCCUUCCUGCCAGGGAGGCCGGGCCAACCAGGGGCUCCCCUGUCUCCUUUGGCACCUGCAAACAAGAAGACAUGGUAAGUUUCUGUUAUGCUUCUGUAACUGGACUUGCAGGU